rnacentral:rRNA from 2 species
CUAUCAGCUUUGGAUGGUAGGAUAUGGGCCUACCAUGGCGUUAACGGGUAACGGGGAAUUAGGGUUUGAUUCCGGAGAGGGAGCCUGAGAAACGGCUACCACAUCCAAGGAAGGCAGCAGGCGCGUAAAUUACCCAACCCUAAUUCAGGGAGGUAGUGACAAUAAAUAACAAUGCCGGGCUUUAUAAGUCUGGCAAUUGGAAUGAGAACAAUUUAAAUCCCUUAUCGAGGAUCAAUUGGAGGGCAAGUCUGGUGCCAGCAGCCGCGGUAAUUCCAGCUCCAAUAGCGUAUAUUAAAGUUGUUGCAGUUAAAAAGCUCGUAGUUGGAUUUCUGAAUUGAAUAUCCGGUCCGCUCGUCUCUGAUGAGUGCGUACUUAUGGAUAUUUGACUCAUUUUUUGUGAGGACAUUUAUCUGUCAUUAAGUUGAUGGAUUUAUAGACUUGCAUCGUUUACUGUGAGAAAAUUAGAGUGUUUAAAGCAGGCGUUCGCCCAUUUGAAUACAUUAGCAUGGAAUAAUAAGAUAUGACUUUGGUGGUCUAUUUUGUUGGUUUGCACACCAGAGUAAUGAUUAAUAGGGACAGUUGGGGGUAUUCAUAUUUCAACGUCAGAGGUGAAAUUCUUAGAUCGUUGAAAGAUGACCUUAGGCGAAAGCAUUUACCAUGGAUGUUUUCAUUAAUCAAGAACGAAAGUUAGGGGAUCGAAGAUGAUUAGAUACCAUCGUAGUCUUAACCAUAAACUAUGCCG